GCUGCGGGGUUAGAAAGCUCAUAGUUGGAUUCGUAUCGAUACCUUGGAACCCUUCGGGUGUCUCUAGGUGUUAUCGAUUUAUCGUAAUGUUCGGUUUUGAGUCCUUAACAGGAUUCUUAACAGGCAUUGCAAGUUUACUUUGAACAAAUCAGAGUGCUUCAAACAGGCGUUUUCGCUUGAAUGAUCGUGCAUGGAAUAAUAGAAAAUGAUUUCGGUUCAGUUUUAUUGGUUUUACGGACUGAGAUAAUGGUUAACAGAGACAAACGGGGGCAUUUGUAUGGUCCCGUGAGAGGUGAAAUUCUUGGACCGUGGCCAGACAAACUACAGCGAAAGCAUUUGCCAAGAAUGUUUUUAUUAAUCAAGAACGAAAGUCAGAGGUUCGAAGGCGAUCAGAUACCGCCCUAGUUCUGACCGUAAACGAUGCCAACUAGCGAUCCGCCGAUGGAAAUUAUAUUGCCUUGGUGGGGAGCUUCCCGGAAACGAAAGUCUUCCGGUUCCGGGGGAAGUAUGGUUGCAAAGCUGAAACUUAAAGGAAUUGACGGAAGGGCACCACCAGGAGUGGAGCCUGCGGCUUAAUUUGACUCAACACGGGGAAACUCACCCGGCCCGGACACUGUGAGGAUUGACAGAUUGAUAGCUUUUUCAUGAUUCAGUGGAUGGUGGUGCAUGGCCGUUCUUAUUUAAAA
rnacentral:rRNA from 1 species